rnacentral:piRNA from 1 species
UACAAUUUAAAGUUUUAUUUCAGAAAUGUA